GGAAGGAUCAUUAACACAAAUCCACACAUCUCAACCUAGCCUUAUAUGCUGCAAUUGCACAAGCUAGCGAAAGCAGGCAUGAGCGGUUGCAGCAUCAAUAAACUAAUUACGCAAAGGAGCCUAACUAAGCUCAAUUCUAAAACCAAAUUCUCAACGAUGGAUAUCUUGGUUCCCAUAACGAUGAAGAACGCAGCGAAGUGCGAUAAGCAAUGCGAAUUGCAGAACCGUGAGUCAUCAGAUCUUUGAACGCAAUUGGCGCCGGUUGGUCCUCCAGCCGGCAUGCUUGUUUCAGUGUCUCAUUUUCUCUUCACCCAAAUCAUAAUGUGAGAGAUAUCCUUCUCUUACUAAGUAUGAAAGCACUCUGAGCUCUGCAAGUGGACCGCUUUUGCGAGCCGCACUCAAUGCAGCAGUCACAUUUCCAAUGUGAACUCAUUGAGAGUUGAGUCAGCGCAGUUAUACUGCAAGUGCUUAGAUCCCUAAACUUUUCUUGUAUCUGAAAUCAAGCAGGACCACCCGCUGAACUUAAGCAUAUCACUAAGCGGAGGAGAAGAAAUUAACUAAGAUUGCCUCAGUAACGGCGAGUGAAGCGGCAAAAGCCCAAAGUGGAAAUCUUCACCUUUCAGGUGACGAAUUGUAAUCUAUAGGCUGGAAUCUCACCGGUCGGUGGCGCAGAAGUGACCUGGAAUGGUACGCCAGAGAGGGUGACAGCCCCGUUCGUGGUGCCACUGGCUAACGAGAUCUAGUUAAAGAGUCGGGUUGUUUUGAAUUUCAGCCCUAAUCUAGGAGAUAGACUUCUUCUAAGGCUAAAUAUUUAUGGGAAACCGAUAGCGAACAAGUACUGUGAAGGAAAGAUGAAAAGAACUUUGAAAAGAGAGUCAAAAGACUUGAAAUCGUUGAGAAGGAAGCGGUAGAAAUUUAUUCUUCUGCGGGGAAUGAAGGUAAUGGGCUCGCGUAUUGCAUGGCGCCGGUACGUUAAAGGCCGGUCUAUGCACGUGCGUGAUCCAGAGCUGGAUUCCACGUAGUGAGGCAAAAUGGGGUUUCGUUCCCACAAAAGCUUGGUACAGCUGGGUCGGUUCGCCGAUCACUGUGCCUCUGUUAGUGGGCGCGGAGCUCGAGGAAGACUUGUUCGAUUUUGCCAAAAUGGUUUUUACCGACCCGUCUUGAAACACGGACCAAGGAGUCUAACAGAUAUGCGAGUGUGUUGGCUUUAAAACCACCACGCGUAAUGAAAGUAAAUGAUGCCAAGCGCAAGCGGCAGCAUCAACCGACCAUGAUCCUCUGGUGAAAGGUUUGAGUAUGAGCAUAUCUGUUAGGACCCGAAAGAUGGUGAACUAUGCCUGGGUAGGGUGAAGCCAGGGGAAACUCUGGUGGAGGCUCGUAGCGGUUCUGACGUGCAAAUCGAUCGUCAAACUUGGGUAUAGGGGCGAAAGACUAAUCGAACCAUCUAGUAGCUGGUUCCCUC
rnacentral:misc_RNA from 1 species